GGAGCCAUAGGGAGAGACCCCAAUCCAGCCUUAGGAAAAGAAACCUGCCACAGGAGUCUUGGAGAACGGCGACUAUCCUAAUGGCUUA
rnacentral:pre_miRNA from 1 species